rnacentral:tRNA from 1 species
GGCCCCAUGGUCUAGUGGUUAGGACGCCGCCCUCUCAAGGCGGUAGCACGGGUUCGAGUCCCGUUGGGGCUACCA